rnacentral:rRNA from 1 species
UACGUAGGGUGCGAGCGUUGUCCGGAAUUACUGGGCGUAAAGAGCUCGUAGGUGGUUUGUCGCGUCGUCUGUGAAAUUCCGGGGCUUAACUUCGGGCGUGCAGGCGAUACGGGCAAUACUUGAGUGCUGUAGGGGAGACUGGAAUUCCUGGUGUAGCGGUGGAAUACGCAGAUAUCAAGAGGAACACCGAUGGCGAAGGCAGGUCUCUGGGCAGUAACUGACGCUGAGGAGCGAAAGCAUGGGUAGCGAACAGG